AGACCUUAACAGACACCUCACCAAAGAAGGUAGACAGAUAGCAAAUAGCAUAUGAGAAGACGCUCCACGUGAUAUGUCAGCAGGGGAAUGCAAGUUAAAAUAAUGGUACCAAGACACACACAUUAGAAUGGCCAAAACCUGGAAAACUGACACCACCAAAUUCUGGUGAUAAUGUGGAGCAACAGGAACCCACAUUCACUGCUGGAGGGAAUACAAAAUGCUAACAGCUACUUUGGAAAACAGUUUAGCAGUUUCUUACAAAACUAAAUAUACUUUUACUCAUAAGAUCCAGUAAUCACACUACUUGUUAUCUACCCAAAAGGAGCUGAAAACAUGUCUACAGAAAAAUCUGCACACAGAUGUUUAUAGCAGCUUUCUUCAUAAUUGCUAAAACUUGGAAGCAACCGAGAUGUCCUUCAGAAGGUGAAAGGAUAAAUAAAUUGUGGUCCAUCCAGACAAUGGAAUACUAUUAGAUGCUAAAAAUAUAUGAUCUAUUAAGCCACAAAAAGACAUGGAGGAAACUUAAAUGCUUUUGUGACAGCUGCAACUAAUAGACUCUGGAGGAAGGGACAUGAUGAGUUAAGGAUAAAUCAUACAAUUGGCAUGCAUUCCUCCUUGGACAUUUGCUUGUGGAUCCCAGCUGCCACGCUGUGAGGAAGCCCAAGCACCAGCACCCUGAAGAGAGUUGAGGACCCUCAGCCCUGCCUGGGCUCCCAGAGGAUGCUUAUAGGGAUCAAAGCUUACCUGGCAGCUGGGGAAGCAUUGUCUGCUACCAGUGACCUCUCAGCUUCUCCUGUUGGGCCUCUGGUCCAAAGGCCACCCUGAGAGCUGUGAGCACCAGGGGCCUGAGGAUGGUGGGAAGCAAGGCCUCACUCACUGAGCUCAGAUGUCAGUGUGUUUGGAAGGAGGGACUGACCCCAGUUCCUCAUGCUUGAUCGCCGGCCACGCUGCUCUGAGCUUGAGAGCCAAACCCUU